rnacentral:misc_RNA from 1 species
GAUGAAGAACUUAGCGAAAUGCGAUAAGUAAUGUGAAUUGCAGAAUUCAGUGAAUCAUCGAAUCUUUGAACGCACAUUGCGCCCAUUAGUAUUCUAGUGGGCAUGCCUGUUCGAGCGUCAUUAAGUCCACUUAAGCCCUGCUUAGUGUUGGGAGACUGCUCCAGCGGUGCUACCCUGUGGCUACCCUGCAGCUCCUCAAAGACAGCGGCGGAGUUGUGGUAUCCUCUGAGCUUAGUAACUUGUUCUAGCUUUCGAGUACACCACUUCCCCUGCCGUAAAACCCUUAAUUUUUAAUGGUUGACCUCGGAUCAGGUAGGAAUACCCGCUGAACUUAAGCAUAUCAAUAAGCGGAGGA